rnacentral:lncRNA from 1 species
GAAAACCCGAACACAUGAAUCUCAACCAACUACCCCGAAGCUCCUGAACAGAAACCCGACUAAACCCGGAACCAUCUAUCACCGCUGCCACUGCCGCUGUGUCUUGUCGACCGCCACCACCAUCACCACCGUGGCUCCACUACCCUCUCCGCCACCGGGAAAAUUAUCAUCUUCAAACCUUCAAUAUGAACACCGGCGAGUCGCCGGAGAAACUGAUCUAACUGCCGCCGCCAUCCUUCUCUCUUCGAUCUCUCUAUACCUCCUGAACUCUAUCUCUCGUCUGUCAUACCCCCCCACCCAACUCGCCGGUUCACCUGGUUGCCGGCCGCCGGUCUGCCAUCGAGAGAAAGGGGGUAGCAGGGGUUGAAAAAGGGGUGUGUGUUGUUGCUGGAAGGUAGGGCGAGGAAGGGGUGUCGUUGUCUGUGUGUGUAUAACUGAUGAUGAAGAAUGAAAGGGAUAGUUGAUUUGUUGGUACGGUUCAACACAUUUGAGAGAGAACAAAACAUGGGAGCGGCUGAUGUAAAUUGUGGAAACUAGGGUU